rnacentral:rRNA from 1 species
UCGCAUUGAUUACGUCCCUGCCCUUUGUACACACCGCCCGUCGCACCUACCGAUUGAAUGAUUCGGUGAAAAUUUUGGACCGUGGCUAAGACGCCCUCGGGCGACUUUGCUGUGGGAAGUCAUUUAAACCUCAUCAUUUAGAGGAAGGUGAAGUCGUAACAAGGUUUCCGUAGGUGAACCUGCGGAAGGAUCAUUACCACUACCUUAAGCCA